GACAGAGGGUGCAAACGUUGUUCGGAAUUACUGGGCGUAAAGCGCGUGUAGGCGGCCCUGCAAGUCGGAUGUGAAAUCCCACGGCUCAACCGUGGAAGUGCAUUCGAAACUGCAGGGCUAGAGUCCUGGAGAGGAAGGUGGAAUGCUUGGUGGUAGAGGUGAAAUUCGUAGAUAUCAAGCGGAACACCGGUGGCGAAGGCGGGUCUCUGGGCCGAUACUGACGCUGAGGAGCGAAAGCGUGGGGAGCGAACAGG
rnacentral:rRNA from 1 species